rnacentral:rRNA from 1 species
UACGUAGGUGACAAGCGUUGUCCGGAUUUACUGGGCGUAAAGAGCGCGCAGGCGGUCGUUCAAGUCGAGUGUGAAAGCCCCCGGCUCAACUGGGGAGGGUCACUCGAUACUGAUCGACUCGAAGGCAGGAGAGGGAAGUGGAAUUCCCGGUGUAGUGGUGAAAUGCGUAGAUAUCGGGAGGAACACCAGUGGCGAAGGCGACUACCUGGCCUGUUCUUGACGCUGAGGCACGAAGGCCAGGGGAGCGAACGGG